rnacentral:lncRNA from 1 species
UUUUUUUUUUUUUUUUUUGGUGUUCCCUGUCCUGCUUCCCCAGAGGAAGCCAGAAGAAGACCCCAGUUGCCAUGAACUCCGCCGUCACUAGCCGUGAGCACUCCACUUACUCGCCUCAGAGCAGCACCCAGAUGACGAAGUCACCAUUCUGAGAUGCUGCUGGUUUUGGGGAGCACGUUGCUCUGCUGGAACUGGGUUAUAAACUGGGGGAAGGCACCUUCCCGACCCUGAAAGCUUAUGGCCCAGCUAGGCAAAAGCAGGAAGAGGCGGCAUCUGAAAAAUAUCUCUGAUACAAGGCAGAAAAUGGCACAUGAUGCACCAGAGAUAAAGGCCACAGGCAGGUGGGGAAUCAGGAAAGGUGACGGGGGAGGAAUUUGAGCUCUUCCAAGGAGGCCGCGAGUACAAGAAGCAGGUGGUGGAGAUGGAGGGGGGC